CCCCCGGGGGCGGGUGACCUCAGCUGGCCGCGACCCAGCCCUCCCCCGUGCAGAUCUCGCUUAAGAUGGCAGCGGAGACAGGGGAACUAAUCGGGGCUUGUGAGUUCAUGAAAGAUCGAUUAUAUUUUGCUACUUUAAGGAAUAGACCAAAAAGCACAAUAAAUACCCACUAUUUCUCCAUCGACGAGGAGCUGGUCUAUGAAAAUUUCUAUGCAGAUUUUGGACCUCUGAACUUGGCAAUGGUGUACAGAUACUGCUGUAAACUAAACAAGAAACUAAAAUCAUACAGUUUAUCAAGAAAGAAAAUAGUGCACUACACCUGUUUCGACCAGCGGAAACGAGCGAACGCAGCCUUCUUGAUAGGUGCUUACGCUGUUAUCUACUUAAAGAAGACACCAGAAGAAGCCUACAGAGCGCUCCUGUCUGGCUCAAACCCCCCUUACCUUCCAUUCAGGGACGCAUCCUUUGGAAAUUGCACUUACAACCUCACCAUCCUUGACUGUUUACAAGGAAUCAGAAAGGGAUUACAGCAUGGAUUUUUUGACUUUGAGACAUUUGAUGUGGAUGAAUAUGAACAUUAUGAGCGUGUUGAAAAUGGGGACUUCAACUGGAUUGUUCCAGGGAAAUUUUUAGCGUUUAGUGGACCGCAUCCGAAAAGCAAAAUUGAAAAUGGUUACCCUCUCCACGCCCCCGAAGCCUACUUUCCCUAUUUCAAAAAGAACAACGUGACUGCAAUCGUGAGAUUGAACAAAAAGAUUUACGAGGCAAAGCGCUUCACAGACGCCGGCUUUGAGCACUACGACCUGUUCUUCAUAGACGGCAGCACUCCCAGCGACAACAUCGUGCGAAGGUUCCUGAACAUCUGUGAGAACACAGAAGGGGCCAUCGCGGUCCACUGCAAAGCUGGUCUGGGAAGAACAGGGACAUUGAUAGCCUGUUAUGUCAUGAAACACUACAGGUUCACACAUGCUGAAAUCAUUGCUUGGAUCAGAAUUUGCCGACCAGGCUCCAUCAUCGGACCCCAGCAGCACUUCCUGGAAGAAAAACAAGCAUCAUUGUGGGUCCAAGGAGACAUUUUUCGAUCCAAACUGAAAAAUAAACCUUCCAGUGAAGGAAGUAUUAAUAAAAUUAUUUCUAGCUUGGAUGAUAUGUCUAUUGGUGGAAACUUAUCUAAAUUGCAGAGUGCGGAAAGGUUUGCAGAGAGUCAUUUAGAAGACGAAGAUGUGGAAAUGAAAAACAACGUAACACAGGGAGACAAACUACGUGCCUUAAAAAGCCAGAGGCAGCCCCGCUCCUCGCCAUCCUGUGCAUUUAGGUCAGACGAUAUGAAAGGACCCCAAAGGGCAGUGGCCCAGACUCUCAGAUUAAGUUCUUCCCCACAACCAUCUGUGUCUACUGUGAAGACCCCCAAAGUGUGUUUGUCCCCUUCAGCGACAGCCAAAAGGAUAAACAGAGGCUCUUCGUCUUCGGGUGCAAAUACAAGAAGCUUCCCCGUAAACUCCCGGCUGGCCAGUUCGCUAGGGAACUUGAACGCUGUGACGGAUGACCCCGAGAACAAAAAGACCGCCUCACCCACCAAGGCAGCGUUCAUAGCCAGCCCGUUCACCAGCUUCUUGAAUGGCAGCUCCCAGCCACCUGGCAGAACUUACCCUGAGCUCAACAACAACCAGUAUACCAGAAGCAGCAACAGCAGCAGCAGUGGUCUUGGGAGCAACCUGAACAGCUCCCCAGGCCCCCUGAGCGCCAAGCCUGAGGAACACACCACCGUCCUUAGACCCUCCUUCCAGGGCGGGCUCUCUUCCUCCUCGGCGAGAUUCCUGAGCCGUUCUAUCCCUGUAAGUUCACAGACACCACCUCUUGGUCCUCAGAACCCUGAAUGCAACUUUUGUGCCUUGCCUUCCCAGCCGAGGCUGCCACCAAAGAAAUUUAAUAGUGCCAAGGAAGCCUUCUGAUCGACGCCUUCCCUCUGUGUUGUGCAACUAUCCAUGCGCUACAUUCUGCUGGCUCCUCUUCAAUCCCUUCAGUCUGAAUAUGUUCAUUACUAAGGCCUUGCCACACCAGUGAAGGCGGUUCCAUUCUGAGACAUCGGGACGUGCAGUGUGGAGGGGAACGGCUGCUUGCCCGGAGGAUGUCUCUGUCUUCUUACCUUAAAGAGUGUUAGACAUAGCACCGUUGAGAGACUUGAGACCAGAGCACUGGCUAACGACUACUACAAUGCACUGUAAUGCUGUUUAUGGAGGUGUCCACACCUGUAAAGACAGUUUUAAUGUUGAAUUUGGUAUUUUAAAAGGUUAUUUUUAAUGUGUUUCGGUAAUGCAUUUGUUACUGCAUUUACAUGUACAGUGUUACAUUAUAUAUGUAUCAUGAACUUUAUAAAAGACUAUUUUGAUAAUUUUAUAAGUACAUCAGAUUAUGUAAAAGCUAGACUAUAUUUUGAUUUAGACUUUCCUGCUGUUUGCUACCAAAAAUUUGUAUUUUAAAUUUGUUUAGCUUUAGUAUGGUUUUGUCUACAAAGAGUAAAUAAUUCUUCCUUAUUAAGUGAAAGUGAGGGAGCACAUGUCUAGAAAGUGAUUUUUGGUGCUCCCCCAUGAGUCCAAUAGAUCAGAGCAUCCUCUGCUGAAGUCUGCCUGAACUGGAGUUCAUCCAAAUUCAUCUCGACCAAGAGUGGGGAUGUUGAGAGGGUUUAUUUAGGAAAAAAACCUUCCCUUUGUUUCUCUGCUUGAACCUUUUGAGUAGGAGGCUUAAAAAAAAAGAAAAAACUUUAGCAUCUCUUUAGUAUCAGAAAUCGCUGUCUCUCCUGAAAGCAUGACUUUUUUUUCCUCUGUGAAAUGACAGAACAUUCCAAAUGCUUUUAUUUCUUUCCUCCUCUCAUGAGUGCUUUAAAAAAAAAUGCCUUAAACCAUCUAUUUUGCUUAUACCUUCUUGUAAAUAGGCAAAGGAAGGAUACGGAUUUUAAGAAUCAUGUCGACGGUUUGUAAGAACACUCUCAGUAAAUGGUCAAUAAUGCUGUUAAAGACCAAAAAACAAACAAACAAAAAACAGCACUUCAAAAGAGUUAAUAACUCAGAACAUUCUGCUUUGGGUACGAGGUGGUCAUUGCCUUGUAAGCAUGCAUGGUCUGAUGUCAUUUUCAAAGCAAUGAAGGAAUAAGCCGAAGAAAAUGCUGCUAAGUAGAUCUGUACACUAAAGGAGAUAUUUUAAUGGAGCACCUCCCCCAGAUGUACACACGGGUCUGUCUAGAACUGAUGUCAGAGAGAAAGGGCCCUCAAGGGUAUGUUCAGCCCUUUCAUGUAAGUGUGAUUCUGUAUAUGUUUCCAGCAGCCAAUUGGCUUCUUGUCCAUAUGAGAUAAGAGAGUCUUAGGUACCGAUUCUCUUCCAGGCUGCUUGAGAAUGGGCAAAGGCUAGUUAAAUUGAUUCAUGCAAAGUGCUUUAUUCCAACUGUUGAGUUAUUUAUAAUGUAUUUAUUAGGAGGCGGUAUCUUCAGACUAGUAUAUAUGCUUCAGUAAGACACCUUGUUCACGUUUUACACUUUUGAAAAGGCAUUGGAAUGAAUGUUUGACUCAGGUGUGUUAGUAUAAUUUCCCAUAACUGCAGUACCAAAUAAUUGCACUCACCUGAUGGAAAGUUGAAUUAUGUGUGUUUAGAAAACAUAAAGAGGAAUUAAAUUGUAUAUCUUUUCUAAAGUUGAAAAGUAAAAUAUUUUACUAUGAGUUAUUAUUCUAAAAAGUUGGUUCAUUGUAUAUAGAGAGAAUACUAUUUCUUUCAAAUUAUCAUUGAAAAGUAACCGAGGCAACAUUUGAGAUGUGGGGGAAGAGAACCAUAUUAUCAUUUUUAGUUGUUCUAUGAACACUAAUGAGUGCAGCUACUAAAAUGAUUGUAAAGUUGACUACUGUAAAUUUUCCACAAUUCUGUGUGUAUGUACGUCCUAUGUAUCUACAUGUGUAUGUCUUAAGCUUAUUUAUACACGUGUACAUGCAUAAGGCACACCAAGAAGGGGAUGUAUAUAAUAUAGAGAUUAUAUAGCAGAGAGAUUCUCCACUUAUAAUAAAAAUUGUUUGCCAUGUAUUUUGUUAUGAAUAGUCUAUCUUCCAGAAGAUAUUUUGUUCUAUUUUGAAGUGUAGAAGAAUACACUGCUAAUAAAUAAAAGUUUUAUGCAAUUUA